GUGGGGAAUCUUGCGCAAUGGGCGAAAGCCUGACGCAGCCAUGCCGCGUGGAUGAUGAAGGUCUUAGGAUUGUAAAAUCCUUUCACCGGUGAAGAUAAUGACUGUAGCCGGAGAAGAAGCCCCGGCUAACUUCGUGCCAGCAGCCGCGGUAAUACGAAGGGGGCUAGCGUUGCUCGGAUUUACUGGGCGUAAAGGGCGCGUAGGCGGACAUUUAAGUCAGGGGUGAAAUCCCGGGGCUCAACCUCGGAACUGCCUUUGAUACUGGGUGUCUUGAGUAUGAGAGAGGUGUGUGGAACUCCGAGUGUAGAGGUGAAAUUCGUAGAUAUUCGGAAGAACACCAGUGGCGAAGGCGACUCACUGGCCCAAUACUGACGCUGAGGCGCGAAAGCGUGGGGAGCAAACAGGAUUAGAAACCCGGGUAGUCC
rnacentral:rRNA from 1 species